rnacentral:lncRNA from 1 species
CCAGUUGAGAACGAUCAACGUCAAGAAGGCAUCCGCAUCUCUACGAUGAUGGAAGAUCUCUAGACUUAAUAUUUAAUGAGGAGAUUUGAGUUUAGAUCUCUUUUAAAUCAGCAGAUCUGACAUCUGACUGAUUAAAUGAGGUCAGCACAUCAAUAUGUCUAACCAUCCUAGUUGGCAUGGGUGAACUUGAGUUAACAAGUAACCUAAUAUGAAAUUGAAUCUCCCAAGAUGGCCAAGUAAGUUAAGAUGCAUGGGCUUCCCCCCAU